GGGCUAACGUCAGCCAGGAGGGUGUCACUGGUGAGGGAUGCGUUGACAGCCAGGGGUCCCCAUGAGCCCCUGGAGCAGGCCCCUCCCAGCCUGGGCCUCGCAGAGGGCAGCUGCAGACCAGAGGUUGGGAGGCAGCCGGUGGUGGGGCAGGAGGAGCUGGGAGGUGGCGCCUGGGACAGGCAGGGCUGCGGCGUGUGUGGGUGCCAGUCUGUGUGGUCUCCUUGUGCACACACACCCCUCCCCAGCUCGGUGUCUAUACCAUCCCUGCUGGCGUCGUCUGCCUGCUGUCCACCAUCUGCCUGUGGGAGAGUGUGCCCCCCACCCCGCCCUCUGCCGGGGCCGCCAGCUCCACCUCAGAGAAGUUCCUGGAUGGGCUCAAGCUGCAGCUCGUGUGGAACAAGGCCUAUGUCAUCCUGGCUGUGUGCUUGGGGGGAAUGAUCGGGAUCUCUGCCAGCUUCUCAGCCCUCCUGGAGCAGAUCCUCUGUGCAAGCGGCCACUCCAGUGGGUUUUCCGGCCUCUGUGGCGCUCUCUUCAUCACGUUUGGGAUCCUGGGGGCACUGGCUCUCGGCCCCUAUGUGGACCGGACCAAGCACUUCACUGAGGCCACCAAGAUUGGCCUGUGCCUGUUCUCUCUGGCCUGCGUGCCCUUUGCCCUGGUGUCCCAGCUGCAGGGACAGACCCUUGCCCUGGCCGCCACCUGCUCGCUGCUUGGGCUGUUUGGCUUCUCGGUGGGCCCCGUGGCCAUGGAGUUGGCGGUCGAGUGUUCCUUCCCCGUGGGGGAGGGGGCUGCCACAGGCGUGAUCUUUGUGCUGGGGCAGGCCGAGGGAAUACUCAUCAUGCUGGCAAUGACGGCACUGACUGUGCGACGAUCGGAGCCGUCCUUCUCCACCUGCCAGCAGGGGGAGGAUCCACUUGACUGGACAGUGUCUCUGCUGCUGAUGGCCGGUCUGUGCACCCUCUUCAGCUGCAUCCUGGCGCUCUUCUUCCACACCCCAUACCGGCGCCUGCAGGCCGAGUCUGGGGAGCCCCCCUCCACCGGUAACGCCGUGGGCGGCGCAGACUCAGGGCCGGGUGUGGACCGAGGGGGAGCGGGAAGGGCUGGGGUCCUGGGGCCCAGCACGGCGACUCCGGAGUGCACGGCGAGGGGGGCCUCGCUAGAGGACCCCAGAGGGCCCGGGAGCCUCCACCCAGCCUGCCACCGAGAGACUCCCCGUGCGCAAGGCCCAGCAGCCACCGACGCGCCCUCCCGCCCCGGCAGACUCGCAGGCAGGGUCCAAGCGUCCAGGUUUAUUGACCCGGCCGGGCCUCACUCCUCCUUCUCCUCCCCGUGGGUGAUCACGUAGCUGAGCGCCUUGUAGUCCAGGUUGCCCGCCGCAUCGAUGGAGGCGAACUGGAACAUCUGGUCCACCUGCGGGCGGGGGCGAAAGGGCUCCCUGCGGGCUCCGGGAGCGAAUUACAAGCGCGGACCUGCA
rnacentral:sRNA from 1 species